AAUGGAAUGUUGGAACUGCUGCUGUUGGGAGACCCUGGUCUGCACUCUGUCUGGAAACUUACAGAAGGGAGAGCAGGGCAGGGUUUCCCAUACAGAGGCACAGGCAACCACCGCAUG
rnacentral:pre_miRNA from 14 species